UACGGAGGGUGCGAGCGUUGUCCGGAAUCAUUGGGCGUAAAGGGCGCGUAGGCGGCUUCUCAAGCGUGCGGUGAAAGUCAGGGGCUCAACCCCUGAUCGGCCGUGCGAACUGGGGGGCUGGAGCACUGUAGAGGCAGGCGGAAUUCCGGGUGUAGCGGUGGAAUGCGUAGAGAUCCGGAAGAACACCGGUGGCGAAGGCGGCUGGCUGGGCAGUGGCUGACGCUGAGGCGCGACAGCGUGGGGAGCAAACAGG
rnacentral:rRNA from 1 species